UAAACAUUUGUUUUCUUUUCUCUGUCUCUAUAUCUUCUGCAAUAUUUUUUGAUGUUUUCAUCUCAAUUUCUUUUUAUAAGUUUUAAAAUCUAAGCUUCAUCCUGUUUAAUUAUGAUACCAUUUUCAUAUACCUAAGCAGACAGCAUGAUAACUGAUCUUGCUUUCUUUAAUCACUUCACUAUCUUUGAUGUGUAUAGAUGUCAUGACCGAAUUAUUCCUGUGUGCCAUUGACACUAUAAAUGUCAAAACAAAAUGAUAAAAAAAAAAAAACAAAAAAAGAAGCCUACAGGAAAAAAAAAAAAAAAAGUUUAUUCCUACAAAUUUUUCUCCUAUCGUUUAGAAGACAUAUCUCUUAUAUCAGAGCUUUUUCAAUAGAACUGAUCGAAGUUGCAACAUCAGCUUGUACGACCUACAAAGGUCUUCCCACUUCCCUUCUUCCGUUUCCAAUUCACGAUCUGUGAUUUUGAAUGAAAGAAAAUAAAACGCUGUAUAAUAUCAAUAAUAAUAAUAAUAAUAAUACAUGUAUAUCUAUCUGUCAACAUACAUAUUGUAUCUAUAUAAAUAUCUAUAUAAUUAUAUAUAUACAUAAAAUGUCGUAUGUAUAUAUAUUUACAAAUAUAUACACAUACACGUACACACACUAAACGGAAAUUUGCCAUAUUAUAUAU
rnacentral:lncRNA from 1 species